rnacentral:rRNA from 1 species
GAUGAACGCUAGCGGCAGGCCUAAUACAUGCAAGUCGAACGAUAUUAUCCAGCUUGCUGGAUAUGAAAGUGGAGCACGGGUGCGUAACGCGUAUGCAACCUACCUUAUUCAGGGGGCUAGCCCGAAGAAAUUCGGAUUAACACCGCAUAAGAUCACAGUUCAGCAUUGGACAAUGAACAAAUAUUUAUAGGAAUAAGAUGGGCAUGCGUGUCAUUAGCUAGUUGGCGGGGUAACGGCCCACCAAGGCGACGAUGACUAGGGGAUCUGAGAGGAUGGCCCCCCACACUGGUACUGAGACACAGACCAGACUCCUACGGGAGGCAGCAGUAAGGAAUAUUGGUCAAUGGAGGGAACUCUGAACCAGCCAUGCCGCGUGCAGGAAGACGGCCCUCUGGGUUGUAAACUGCUUUUAUUCGGGAAUAAACCUAUUUACGUGUAAAUAGCUGAAUGUACCGAAGGAAUAAGGAUCGGCUAACUCCGUGCCAGCCGCCGCGGUAA